UUAAGUUAUUAAGGGCGCACGGUGGAUGCCUUGGCACUAGAAGCCGAUGAAGGACGUUACUAACGACGAUAUGCUUUGGGGAGCUGUAAGUAAGCUUUGAUCCAGAGAUUUCCGAAUGGGGAAACCCAGCAUGAGUUAUGUCAUGUUAUCGAUAUGUGAAUACAUAGCAUAUCAGAAGGCACACCCGGAGAACUGAAACAUCUUAGUACCCGGAGGAAGAGAAAGAAAAUUCGAUUCCCUUAGUAGCGGCGAGCGAAAUGGGAAGAGCCCAAACCAACAAGCUUGCUUGUUGGGGUUGUAGGACACUCUAUACGGAGUUACAAAGGACGACAUUAGACGAAUCAUCUGGAAAGAUGAAUCAAAGAAGGUAAUAAUCCUGUAGUCGAAAAUGUUGUCUCUCUUGAGUGGAUCCUGAGUACGACGGAGCACGUGAAAUUCCGUCGGAAUCUGGGAGGACCAUCUCCUAAGGCUAAAUACUCUCUAGUGACCGAUAGUGAACCAGUACCGUGAGGGAAAGGUGAAAAGCACCCCGGAAGGGGAGUGAAAUAGAACCUGAAACCGUGUGCUUACAAGUAGUCAGAGCCCGUUAAUGGGUGAUGGCGUGCCUUUUGUAGAAUGAACCGGCGAGUUACGAUUUGAUGCAAGGUUAAGCAGUAAAUGUGGAGCCGUAGCGAAAGCGAGUCUGAAUAGGGCGUUUAGUAUUUGGUCGUAGACCCGAAACCAGGUGAUCUACCCUUGGUCAGGUUGAAGUUCAGGUAACACUGAAUGGAGGACCGAACCGACUUACGUUGAAAAGUGAGCGGAUGAACUGAGGGUAGCGGAGAAAUUCCAAUCGAACCUGGAGAUAGCUGGUUCUCUCCGAAAUAGCUUUAGGGCUAGCCUCAAGUGAUGAUUAUUGGAGGUAGAGCACUGUUUGGACGAGGGGCCCCUCUCGGGUUACCGAAUUCAGACAAACUCCGAAUGCCAAUUAAUUUAACUUGGGAGUCAGAACAUGGGUGAUAAGGUCCGUGUUCGAAAGGGAAACAGCCCAGACCACCAGCUAAGGUCCCAAAAUAUAUGUUAAGUGGAAAAGGAUGUGGCGUUGCCCAGACAACUAGGAUGUUGGCUUAGAAGCAGCCAUCAUUUAAAGAGUGCGUAAUAGCUCACUAGUCGAGUGACACUGCGCCGAAAAUGUACCGGGGCUAAACAUAUUACCGAAGCUGUGGAUUGUCCUUUGGACAAUGGUAGGAGAGCGUUCUAAGGGCGUUGAAGCAUGAUCGUAAGGACAUGUGGAGCGCUUAGAAGUGAGAAUGCCGGUGUGAGUAGCGAAAGACGGGUGAGAAUCCCGUCCACCGAUUGACUAAGGUUUCCAGAGGAAGGCUCGUCCGCUCUGGGUUAGUCGGGUCCUAAGCUGAGGCCGACAGGCGUAGGCGAUGGAUAACAGGUUGAUAUUCCUGUACCACCUAUAAUCGUUUUAAUCGAUGGGGGGACGCAGUAGGAUAGGCGAAGCGUGCGAUUGGAUUGCACGUCUAAGCAGUAAGGCUGAGUAUUAGGCAAAUCCGGUACUCGUUAAGGCUGAGCUGUGAUGGGGAGAAGACAUUGUGUCUUCGAGUCGUUGAUUUCACACUGCCGAGAAAAGCCUCUAGAUAGAAAAUAGGUGCCCGUACCGCAAACCGACACAGGUAGUCAAGAUGAGAAUUCUAAGGUGAGCGAGCGAACUCUCGUUAAGGAACUCGGCAAAAUGACCCCGUAACUUCGGGAGAAGGGGUGCUCUUUAGGGUUAACGCCCAGAAGAGCCGCAGUGAAUAGGCCCAAGCGACUGUUUAUCAAAAACACAGGUCUCUGCUAAACCGUAAGGUGAUGUAUAGGGGCUGACGCCUGCCCGGUGCUGGAAGGUUAAGAGGAGUGGUUAGCUUCUGCGAAGCUACGAAUCGAAGCCCCAGUAAACGGCGGCCGUAACUAUAACGGUCCUAAGGUAGCGAAAUUCCUUGUCGGGUAAGUUCCGACCCGCACGAAAGGCGUAACGAUUUGGGCACUGUCUCAACGAGAGACUCGGUGAAAUCAUAGUACCUGUGAAGAUGCAGGUUACCCGCGACAGGACGGAAAGACCCCGUGGAGCUUUACUGUAGCCUGAUAUUGAAAUUCGGCACAGCUUGUACAGGAUAGGUAGGAGCCUUUGAAACGUGAGCGCUAGCUUACGUGGAGGCGCUGGUGGGAUACUACCCUAGCUGUGUUGGCUUUCUAACCCGCACCACUUAUCGUGGUGGGAGACAGUGUCAGGCGGGCAGUUUGACUGGGGCGGUCGCCUCCUAAAAGGUAACGGAGGCGCUCAAAGGUUCCCUCAGAAUGGUUGGAAAUCAUUCAUAGAGUGUAAAGGCAUAAGGGAGCUUGACUGCGAGACCUACAAGUCGAGCAGGGUCGAAAGACGGACUUAGUGAUCCGGUGGUUCCGCAUGGAAGGGCCAUCGCUCAACGGAUAAAAGCUACCCCGGGGAUAACAGGCUUAUCUCCCCCAAGAGUUCACAUCGACGGGGAGGUUUGGCACCUCGAUGUCGGCUCAUCGCAUCCUGGGGCUGUAGUCGGUCCCAAGGGUUGGGCUGUUCGCCCAUUAAAGCGGUACGCGAGCUGGGUUCAGAACGUCGUGAGACAGUUCGGUCCCUAUCCGUCGUGGGCGUAGGAAAUUUGAGAGGAGCUGUCCUUAGUACGAGAGGACCGGGAUGGACAUACCUCUGGUGUACCAGUUGUCGUGCCAACGGCAUAGCUGGGUAGCUAUGUGUGGACGGGAUAAGUGCUGAAAGCAUCUAAGCAUGAAGCCCCCCUCAAGAUGAGAUUUCCCAACUUCGGCUAUAAGAUCCCUCAAAGAUGAUGAGGUUAAUAGGUUCGAGGUGGAAGCAUGGUGACAUGUGGAGCUGACGAAUACUAAUCGAUCGAAGACUUAAUCAA
rnacentral:rRNA from 1 species